rnacentral:rRNA from 1 species
AUUGAACGCUGGCGGCAGGCCUAACACAUGCAAGUCGGACGGUAACAGGAAGCAGCUUGCUGCUUCGCUGACGAGUGGCAGACGGGUGAGUAAAGUCUGGGAAACUGCCUGAUGGAGGGGGAUAACUACUGGAAACGGUAGCUAAUACCGCAUAACGUCGCAAGACCAAAGAGGGGGACCUUCGGGCCUCUUGCCAUCAGAUGUGCCCAGAUGGGAUUAGCUAGUAGGUGGGGUAAAGGCUCACCUAGGCGACGAUCCCUAGCUGGUCUGAGAGGAUGACCAGCCACACUGGAACUGAGACACGGUCCAGACUCCUACGGGAGGCAGCAGUGGGGAAUAUUGCACAAUGGGCGCAAGCCUGAUGCAGCCAUGCCGCGUGUAUGAAGAAGGCCUUCGGGUUGUAAAGUACUUUCAGCGGGGAGGAAGGCAAUGCGGUUAAUAACCGUGUUGAUUGACGUUACCCGCAGAAGAAGCACCGGCUAACUCCGUGCCAGCAGCCGCGGUAA